UACGGGGGGGACAAGCGUUGUUCGGAAUUACUGGGCGUAAAGGGCUCGUAGGUGGCCAACUAAGUCAUGCGUGAAAUCCCUCGGCUUAACCGGGGAACUGCGUCUGAUACUGGAUGGCUUGAGUUUGGGAGAGGGAUGCGGAAUUCCAGGUGUAGCGGUGAAAUGCGCAGAUAUCAGGAGGAACACCGGUGGCGAAGGCGGAUCUCUGGGCCGAUACUGACGCUGCGGAGCGAAAGCGUGGGGAGCGAACAGG
rnacentral:rRNA from 1 species